rnacentral:rRNA from 1 species
UAGGGAAUCUUCCGCAAUGGACGCAAGUCUGACGGAGCAACGCCGCGUGAGUGAAGAAGGAUUUCGGUUCGUAAAACUCUGUUGUUAGAGAAGAACAGCGCAUAGAGUAACUGUUAUGCGUGUGACGGUAUCUAACCAGAAAGCCACGGCUAACUACGUGCCAGCAGCCGCGGUAAUACGUAGGUGGCAAGCGUUGUCCGGAGUUAUUGGGCGUAAAGCGAGCGCAGGCGGUCAAUUAAGUCUGAUGUGAAAGCCCCCGGCUCAACCGGGGAGGGUCAUUGGAAACUGGUUGACUUGAGUGCAGAAGAGGAGAGUGGAAUUCCAUGUGUAGCGGUGAAAUGCGUAGAUAUGUGGAGGAACACCAGUGGCGAAGGCGACUCUCUGGUCUGUCACUGACGCUGAGGCUCGAAAGCGUGGGUAGCAAACAGG